AACGAACGCUGGCGGCAUGCCUAACAAAGGCAAGUCGAACGAGACCUUCGGGCCUAGUGGCGCACGGGUGCGUAACGCGUGGGAACCUGCCCUUAGGUUCGGAAUAACUCCCCGAAAGGGGUGCUAAUACCGGUUAAUGUCUUCGGACCAAAGAUUUAUCGCCUUUGGAUGGGCCCGCGUUGGAUUAGCUAGUUGGUAGGGUAAAAGCCUACCAAGGCGACGAUCCAUAGCUGGUCUGAGAGGAUGAUCAGCCACACUGGGACUGAGACACGGCCCAGACUCCUACGGGAGGCAGCAGUGGGGAAUAUUGGACAAUGGGCGAAAGCCUGAUCCAGCAAUGCCGCGUGAGUGAUGAAGGCCUUAGGGUUGUAAAGCUCUUUUACCCGGGAUGAUAAUGACAGUACCGGGAGAAUAAGCUCCGGCUAACUCCGU
rnacentral:rRNA from 1 species